rnacentral:rRNA from 1 species
CAAGAGCGUAUAUUAAAGUUGUUGCAGUUAAAAAGCUCGUAGUUGGAUUUGUGGCGUACGGUGUGUUCCGGGCACUUGUUGUCUGAGUAACCUGCUGUUGCCAUCCUUGGGUGGAACCUGUGUGGCAUUAGGUUGUCGUGCAGGGGAUGCCCAUCAUUUACUGUGAAAAAAUUAGAGUGUUCAAAGCAGGCUUAUGCCGUUGAAUAUAUUAGCAUGGAAUAAUGAGAUAGGACUUUUUUGCUAUUUUGUUGGUUUGCGCAAAGAGGUAAUGAUUAAUAGGGACAGUUGGGGGUAUUCGUAUUCCAUUGUCAGAGGUGAAAUUCUUGGAUUUUUGGAAGACGAACUACUGCGAAAGCAUUUACCAAGGAUGUUUUCAUUAA